rnacentral:rRNA from 1 species
ACGAACGCUGGCGGCGUGCUUAACACAUGCCAGUCGAACGGAAAGGCCCUGCUUUUGUGGGGUGCUCGAGUGGCGAACGGGUGAGUAACACGUGAGUAACCUGCCCUUGACUUUGGGAUAACUUCAGGAAACUGGGGCUAAUACCGGAUAGGAGCUCCUGCUGCAUGGUGGGGGUUGGAAAGUUUCGGCGGUUGGGGAUGGACUCGCGGCUUAUCAGCUUGUUGGUGGGGUAGUGGCUUACCAAGGCUUUGACGGGUAGCCGGCCUGGGAGGGUGACCGGCCACAUUGGGACUGAGAUACGGCCCAGACUCCUACGGGAGGCAGCAGUGGGGAAUAUUGCACAAUGGGCGGAAGCCUGAUGCAGCAACGCCGCGUGCGGGAUGAAGGCCUUCGGGUUGUAAACCGCUUUCGCCUGUGACGAAGCGUGAGUGACGGUAAUGGGUAAAGAAGCACCGGCUAACUACGUG